rnacentral:misc_RNA from 1 species
AACGCACAUUGCGCCCUCUGGUAUUCCGGGGGGCAUGCCUGUUCGAGCGUCAUUACAACCCUCAAGCUCUGCUUGGUAUUGGGCGUCACCACCUGGUGCGCCCCAAAAUCAGUGGCGGUGCCGUCUGGCUUCAAGCGUAGUAAUUCUUCUCGCUUUGGAGUCCGGGCGAGUGCUCGCCAGAACCCCCAAUUUAUCAAGGUUGACCUCGGAUCAGGUAGGGAUACCCGCUGAACUUAAG